GCCGGGGUAGCUCAGCCUGGUAGAGCGCGGGCCUGAAGAGCCCGGCGUCGGCGGUUCAAGUCCGUCCCCCGGCACCA
rnacentral:tRNA from 3 species